UUGGGGAGAAGGGAAAAGGAGGAAGCUCAAGGCCUCCACCUACUCCAGUUUGGCCUCGGUCUGUUCCGUUCCACCUCGCCCCGCCCGCCCGGCCGGCCGCCAGCCGCGCAGCCAUUUCCGCCGCAGGACCCUGCAUUCCGGAAGUCGGCGGCCCGCCCACACAGGGGCCGGCCAGGCUAGAUCCUACCUCGCCGGCUGCACCCGCUUCCGAAUUUUUACUAUCUGACCCUUCAUGGAAAUGGUUGCCAACUCGGUUUACUAAAAUGAACAGAGGAACGGAAAGCAAUUGCCAGGUUCUUGCUGUGAUCUUGAGUAAGUCUCUUCACUUCUCUGGUCUUCAUUUUCGUAAUCUUUAAAAUGAAGGGUAGUGAGUAAAUGAGAUAAA
rnacentral:lncRNA from 1 species